GUUUUUUUUUUUGACCCGUAAUGUGGAAUAGUUGGUAUAAUCAAUCAUCAGUUCUGAAACUUUACAGGGCAAUAAGCUCUGCUCGAAUGGAGUCUACUUCCACGACCGUACCUUCCAUUGUUGUGUAUGUGACAGUUCCGAAUCGGGAAGCAGGUACUUUACCCAUGCUGUUGGUCUUUUUUUAUUACCUUUGCAUGCUACCAUUGCCAUUAAUUAAUCACAGAUACACGCCAUACUAUCAGUUGACCAACUGAACUUACUUCCACAUCUGAUAGUGCAUUUGAGUUACAUUUGAGCUAUGUUGUUCAAUGGUCCAAUUAUAGAUGGCUGUAUGGUAUUGUUUUGGCGAGAUUGAUCUCUUUCUUUAAGCAGCACUAAGAAAUCUAAAAUGGCUGUUUUUUUUCUUUUCAAUAAUCUUAUUAUUAUUUUUCCUUUGCUGCAGGCAAAAAGCUAUCAGCAAGCAUUAUCAGUGAGAAGCUUGCUGCUUGUGUGAACAUAGUGCCUGGUAGGAACUGUGUUCUCUCUCUCUCUCUCUGUUUAUUCUGUGCUGCUAGACACUCAAAUGUAGUAGAUUCUUUUUUUGUUUUUUGCGUGGAAUAGUUGAUUCCUGUCAACUGACCAUCUUCUACAGUAGUUUUCAGUUAUCAUUUGAACCUCGUCAUCUCUUCCAGUUUCCAUACAUAUCCCAUGUUGUGCACUUUAGCAAAUUGGCUUCUCUACCCCUUGCCUUGAAUCAAAUGUCAUCACUCAUCAGUGGACCAGGAUGACCAUUAAACAUCUGAGUUUUCCAAAAUGUGACACGGCUAGUCAUGUGGCUGUGUACAUCAUCAUUUGGCCUGUCAGGUGCAGCAUCGUGAAAUCACCACUGUUGGAACUAAACUUGAUGAAAGGUAUUCAAUUGACGAAACUUAUGGGGUCUCAACUGUCAAGUGAAAAUCAUGGUGAAAAUGAAGGGCUGAAGGGAACUAUCUUAAUAAUUAUAGAAGUAGGGAUUAGCGAUGGUAUUAGAGAUGGAGUAUAAACUAUAAACAUGUUAUGCUUGAUAGCCAACUCUACCUGGUCAAUGAUAAAAAAUAUUUAUAUGAUAGAGCAACUUUCUGUAGAGGUUCAACAUAAUUACUGUUUGAGAUUUUCUACUUGAAUUAACCACAAACGUCUGACCAUCAUCAAGAUCUUCAAGAUCCCUUUAACAGUAGACUAUAGUGAACUGAACUAGUUGUGGACAUAGUGAUGUGUGGGCAAGUUGACACAUGGGUGACUUUCUUGUUUGUGUAGAACAUAUGGGUGCAAUGAUUACGAAAUCUUUUAUCAAAUUGUACUCUUUACUAACAAUAAAAAUAUGCAUUAAACUGAUGGAUAUGCAUUUGGCCAUCAACAGGUAAGCUACCUCAUCUUCUCACGAUUUCUGUUGUAUGUGGCUUACUGAGAAAUCUUCUUUUCAGUCAUCAUCAUAUCAUAUCAUCUUAUUUGAUGAUCAUUUCUGUUUCCAGGAAUUGAAUCUGUUUACUGGUGGGAGGAAAAGGUACAUUUCUACUGAUGCUUUCCUGGCCUGGCUAAUUUGCAGUGCCUGUUAUUCAUUCAACGCUUUUCACCAUGAAACGAGAGAAUUUCUGGACCAUGGUCCACCCACACCUAUGCUCGGCGUCGUUAGAUGUAACACUACUACCAUGUGGAUACUAGAUACGGGUCAGGUUAGGAUUCAAGAUUUGUAGAUUAUGCUAAUUCGGACAUCCGGUCCACCACCAGCUCCAUGUGUAGGUCUGUGCACACUCGCCCUUUUUUGAACUACGUGGCUGGCACAGUGCGCUAAACUACUCUAGCAUAUGAGCCCAACCCUGAGAUUGUUUAAAAACAAUCUUAUCACCAGCUCCUUGUCCUGCGCUAAUGCCGACAUUUUUAAAGUUUGUCUGCGAGGGUCACCAGAGGUCAAACGUUUUAGACACUGCAUCACAUGGCGAAACAUUGAAAGUGCAUUUAGGUACUUACAUACAUGCUUUUCAACAAGAUAACAACAAAAAACAGACACCUUAAACAAACUGCUUAGGUCCCAAUAUACUAAAAAUGAUGGCAUGCAAGCCAUAGCGCCCUGGUUGUUGUGCAUAAGGCGUGCAACAAAAAUCUUAAAUGGUCAUACCGCAUGGGGGACAGGAUUGUGCACAACGACGCAUCCCUCCUAUUUUAUUCCCCUAUACGGAGUAUCUCUCACCAUGUAGUAGGUUGAUUAAAAAAACCAGAGACCUGAUAAUCAGUGGUUGAUGAUUCCUGCCAUAUGCUAGGAGGGCAGAAUGUCACAUAUCUCAAGAAAUGGUGUGAGGCGAUGAAUGGUACCGAGCGUGGGUGCCGGUGGACCAUGGUCUAGAGCCACAUUUCUAACCAUGAAACUCCUUUACAUGGGAUGUCUUACCAAUCCAUUACAAAAGUACAUAUAUUUAGUAGCUCUCCACAACCUGUUGAUUCCUCAGGUGCAAACCGAUGCUGAAGAGCUGCUCAUCAUCAAGACCAGAGAAUCUCUUCUAAACGCCUUGACUGAACAUGUGAAAGCAAACCAUGAGUAUGAGUAAGUUCUGUCCUUUUUUAUCAAGCUUGGUCUAUUUGUUGGUACAGAGUAUGGACCAGCAAGUUAUAAUCAAACAUGUUGUCUGUCCUGAACGGAGGUUUGUACUGUCUGAUCUUUCCAUGCAGUGUUCCUGAAGUCAUCGCGCUGCCCAUCAGCGGAGGUAACCUCAAGUACCUGGAGUGGCUCAAGAACAGCACCAGGGAGAAGUGAUCUGGCUAGAGCUUUCCAUGGACCUCAUCUGUGAGUAGAGUACCUAGUGGUGUGGAUUGUGGAGUGUCUGUUCUGGUUUGAGACGCCGAGCUUGUUCAUAAAGACUUUAGUAGCCUCUCUGCCUCGAUGGCGUUGCCGUGACAAAUCGGUCGAUCUGUACUGUCUCCUAGGGUCAAAUAAAAUUCCGAAGCGUGUAGCGUCGAGACGACUGCACAUGAAAUCCUCACUUGGCGCCUGCGGAUUAUCUCAUCAUUCUUUUCAUCUAAUCUCUUAAAAAAACAUACGUACUAGGUAUUUUUGUCAUGAAACUGUACUUGUGUUCCAAAGGGGGAAUAGGAGCUGAAGGACAUGGGCGUCAUUUGAGCUGAAGGAGUAACAGUCAAGUAUGAUUGAGAAGGGAAGUUAAAGAAGCUACAGUACCCUAACUUCCCUUCUUUCUAUUCAUAUGAUUAAGGCUAAAAUAAGUCAAAUUAAUUUGUAAAUUGAUGAUCUACUGUGUACAUUUAUUGUAGUAAUUACACACAAAUAAGUUGAUGGUGAAAUAAAAUUAAUUUUAAACUAUUAUAUCUACAGUAAAUAUCAACAGUAAACAAGUUGCUAACUACCUACUAACAGUCUCUAACUUUAUUUUUUCAUUUUACACUGGGCUAGCACUGUAGCACCAUGACUUUCUUCUCUAUGCUAGAGGAUCCAGUUCGUAGUACUUGGCGUAAGUUGGAAAAAGAAGAGAGAAACGAUGUGCGCUUUACCUCGUCGCUAAGCUACGAGAGUUCCAUGUAAAAAGAGUAGAGAUCUAUCAGUAAUCAGUAGGGUAGGCAACUGACACGAGUUUGCCGACCACUCCUACUACUGAUGAUUGCCUGAUGGCUAGCCAGUAGGCACGGCAAGAGAGUUAUCGAUGCUGAGGACACCGUCACUGUGUGGUGUGUACCACAGUUAUAAAAAGUCUCUCCAAUAAUGUAUCCUCUUUUGGCUUUCUCUAAUAUAAGCCCUUUUACUUUGGAAUGAUAGUACUAGAGUAUCUGCAGGCUGCACCACUGAGCUGAAUCCGACAUGUGGCUCGUCUGGUCUGGAGAUCUGGUCACAUGAUGCGCUGGGCCAGCAACAGGCUUGCAGUUUUGUUCAUUCCAAGGUGGUUUGGUUCGGUGGGAAUCUGCCUGCCUACUGAUUCAGUCGCACCCCUAAAAAAAAUACUGAUUCAGAUGCACUUGUACCAACACCGAGAUCGAUCGAUAAUAUGAUCCUACCUACCCACCCACAUUGGCACAUACUCCCUCCGUUCCAAAUUACUCGCCGAUCUAAAACUAAAAUACAUCUAGAUACAUCCAUACCUGUGGCAAGUAAUUCAAAACGGAGGGAGUAGCUAACAAGAUAGCAGUAGCAGCUGCUUAAAUAAUCAGAGAAAGUUCAGUAUAAUAACCACAUCAUCUGGGUAUCUGCACUUUUGUGGUGCCGCAAAUAUCACCCCAGAGAGAACUCUCAGCUCACUGGUAACAAGGGGAGCAAAGAAGAGCAAGCACCUGUCAGACAGUCACACACACACAACUGUAUUAACGGGCAAGUGUGCGCGCAGUACACUGAACCAUCAUAUUUUCAACCCAAAAACAAGCACACACGCAUGUACUACUAAUCAACAACAAUUAACCUUAGCCAGUAGCCAAGUCACACGCCCUACUCUCCUCUAGCGGGGAAGGGGCACACGCAUCAGAUCAGAUCAGAUAAGAUUCAGAGUCACACACACACACACACACCGGAACCGAGCGAACAGCACUCGGAGAAGAUUCAGAGACGCAAAACAAC
rnacentral:lncRNA from 1 species